rnacentral:rRNA from 1 species
AUUGAACGCUGGCGGCAUGCCUUACACAUGCAAGUCGAACGGCAGCACGGGUGCUUGCACCUGGUGGCGAGUGGCGAACGGGUGAGUAAUACAUCGGAACAUGUCCUGUAGUGGGGGAUAGCCCGGCGAAAGCCGGAUUAAUACCGCAUACGAUCUACGGAUGAAAGCGGGGGACCUUCGGGCCUCGCGCUAUAGGGUUGGCCGAUGGCUGAUUAGCUAGUUGGUGGGGUAAAGGCCUACCAAGGCGACGAUCAGUAGAUGGUCUGAGAGGACGACCAGCCACACUGGGACUGAGACACGGCCCAGACUCCUACGGGAGGCAGCAGUGGGGAAUUUUGGACAAUGGGCGAAAGCCUGAUCCAGCAAUGCCGCGUGUGUGAAGAAGGCCUUCGGGUUGUAAAGCACUUUUGUCCGGAAAGAAAUCCUUGGCUCUAAUACAGUCGGGGGAUGACGGUACCGAAAGAAUAAGCACCGGCUAACUACGUG